AAUAAUGAUGGAGAGUUUGAUCCUGGCUCAGAACGAACGCUGGCGGCGCGUCUUAAGCAUGCAAGUCGAACGGUAAGGGAGAGCUUGCUCUCCCCUAGAGUGGCGGACUGGUGAGUAACGCGUGGGUGACCUGCCCUGAAGAUGGGGAUAGCUAGUAGAAAUAUUAGAUAAUACCGAAUGUGCUCAUUUACAUAAAGGUAAAUGAGGAAAGGAGCUACGGCUCCGCUUCAGGAUGGGCCCGCGUCCCAUUAGCUGGUUGGUGAGGUAAAGGCCCACCAAGGCAACGAUGGGUAUCCGGCCUGAGAGGGUGAACGGACACAUUGGGACUGAGAUACGGCCCAAACUCCUACGGGAGGCAGCAGCUAAGAAUCUUC
rnacentral:rRNA from 1 species